rnacentral:rRNA from 1 species
GAUGAACGCUGGCGGCGUGCUUAACACAUGCAAGUCGAACGAAGAUAUUAAGAAUGAGAGCUUCGGCAGGAAUUUUUCUUAUCUUAGUGGCGGACGGGUGAGUAACGUGUGGGCAACCUGCCCUGCACUGGGGAAUAAUCAUUGGAAACGAUGACUAAUACCGCAUACGGUUCCUGGGAGGCAUCUUCCGGGAAAGAAAGGAUUUAUUCGGUGCAGGAUGGGCCCGCAUCUGAUUAGCUAGUUGGUGAGAUAACAGCCCACCAAGGCGACGAUCAGUAGCCGACCUGAGAGGGUGACCGGCCACAUUGGGACUGAGACACGGCCCAA